UUUGGACGUGUAAAUGCUUAUUGAGGGAUUAUUGGGGGAAUGGUUAUUGGGGGAUAUAUAUAUAUAUAUACUGUAUAUAUGCAUUAUAUACAUAUAUAAAGUGUAUACAAGAACCCUGAUCAUGUUAUUCCUGAUUGUUUAUCCAUUUGAAUUAAGGCAGAACCAGGAUGUGUUCAAAAUAUCAUGAUAGAACCCUUGCUCACACAAUGACUUCUUUUUAAAAUCAUUAAUUUUUUUAUAUGAUAUUGUGAUUGCAUGAAUGAACAAGAGCAGCAUUUACUUAACUUCUUAGCCUAGUAGUUAUUCAUAUUGUAAUAUGUAGUUUGGUGAUCUAUUAUUUUUUUAUUUGUUCUUCUCUUUCUCUGCAGGUUCCUUAAUCCCUGUCCCUUUAAAAAAAACAGCACCUCAUUACAUCAAAAAAGGCACUUUUAAGAGCCACAUUUGUUUUGUUUAUUGUCUUAUUUGUAUUGUUUAUUGUCUUGUUAUCUCAGUCUCUCUCUCUCUCUCUCUCUCACUCUCUCUCCAUCCCUCUCCCUCUCUCUCUCUCUCUCUCUCUCUCUCUCACUCUCUUUCCAUCCCUCUCUCCCUCUCUCUCUCCCCUACCAUCUGAGUGGUGGUUGCUUUUUAGAGGGACGGAGGACCUGGGUUGCUGCCUCUUCUUCACUCAUUGUAAUUAACUGAAAGUGUAAAGGUCGGGAUCAAAGAAUAUAGAUUCAUUUGUUGGUGUUGUUUUAAGCGCACAAUAUACCAAUUUAAUGGAUAGAGACUGGCAUAUAAUACCUGGUUAUUGCACCAAAUGAAAUUUGCAGGAGUCUGCACAAUAUAGGCCAACCUAUAAGAUAAGAUUGCUGUUGGCAUGAAGUCUAAGUAAAUCAAACUUAAGUUUUGUGAGGAAUGCCAGUAUUCAAAGAUGGUUUAUGACUACAGGAAAGCAAACAGCUCGCUUGGCGACUUUAUGUUUCAGGAUUUUUCUGCACUUAAAUAAUUUGCCAGCUUGCAAACAUCCAGAUCUAGUAUUACCUUUGAUAAUGUUAGAAAACAAGACCAGCCCCUGCCCCUAGACCAGCCCCAGCAAGACCAGCCCCUGCCCCUAGACCAGCUAAUCCCACAAGACCAGCCCCUAGACCAGCCCCAGAAAGACCAGCCCCUGUCCCUAGACCAGCUAAUCCCACAAGACCAGCCCCAGCAAGACCAGCCCCUGCCCCUAGACCAGCUAAUCCCACAAGACCAGCCUACCCCAACAGACCAGCAAAUUAUUAAACUUGAACUAUUUACGAUCGACUCACAGGCUCAGCAGCAUGUGGAGCCUCUACCACCCAGGAAAAGACAAACCCCACUAUCCACCCCGGGCCUACCAUCCACCCCAGGCCAAGGCAAACGAGCCCCACCAUCCAUCCAACCUCAACUAAAGAAAAAGACAAAGUAAGUAAUCUUGCCUUGCACCCCAUCUGUAAAUUGGUCCCAUGGUUUUGUAAUCAUUGUAUUAAUAUAAAAUAAGUUAACCAAUGUGAAUUUCACCCCCCUUCUAUUAAUUAAGCCACUUCCCCAAGAUACUGAAUAUAUAAUUCUUAAUCUUUUUCCCCUUGCACCCUAAGCCACAGGUAAAGGAGCCACACAAGCCCCACCCUCUACCCUGGCCAAAAAAAG
ensembl:lncRNA